rnacentral:rRNA from 1 species
AACGAACGCUGGCGGCGUGGAUAAGACAUGCAAGUCGAACGGGACAACAUCUGUAGCAAUACAGGUGUUGUUUAGUGGCGAACGGGUGCGUAACACGUGGGCAAUCUGCCGAGAAGUGGGGGAUAGCUCGCCGAAAGGACGAAUUAAUACCGCAUAUGAUCAGUGAAGACAUCUUCACGACAUCAAAGCCGGGGCAACCUGGCGCUUUUUGAGGAGCCCGCGGCCUAUCAGCUAGUUGGUAAGGUAAUGGCUUACCAAGGCAACGAUCUGUAGCCGGCCUGAGAGGGCGGUCGGCCACACUGACACUGAAUAACGGUCAGACUCCUACGGGAGGCAGCAGUCGGG